rfam:Salmo salar isolate Sally breed double haploid chromosome ssa18, whole genome shotgun sequence.
CUUAAUUGUUCUUGUAAGUCGCUCUGGAUAAGAGCUUCUGCUAAAUGACAGAUA